UAUCAGGUGUUUACUUUAUCACACAUGAAAUCCCCUGCUUAUAUUGUUCAUUAUGCACUAUUGUCUUUAUUUUUUCUUUUAACUUUCGGCUGCUACAUCCAUUGUGUCAAAAUAUACUAACAUAGAUUCUUUAUGGCAUGUCAAUAUACCCAUUCCAGAGAUGUUUGCCAUAUGGAACAGGUAAGAUGCAAUAAACACUAGAAUUAAUGUGUCAUCAUGUGAUUUAUGCUCGCUGUAUAGGUUAAUAAUGGUCGCAGCAUCCAACAUCACCUACACAAGAUAGACUAGCAAGGUUCAGCAAAUGCAAAAGAUGAAUUAAUCGAUGCAACAAUCUACGCUCUAGCUACAAAGCCAAGGGAUGACCUUGAGGAUUGCUGAUGGAAGACCAUCCCCACCAUAACAUUCCACAUCUCAAGUUCUGAAUUGAUUGACAC